rnacentral:sRNA from 1 species
GGUGGGGGCUUGGGCGUGAGAGAGGUCCUCUCUGUGGGGAAGGCAGGCCCGGGAGGGAGCCAGGCCUCCUAAAAGCCAAGGCUGGGAGGCUGGACUGAGCGCCCUGUGCCCGCCCCCCAGGUGUGCGCUCGGGCGGCCCUCGGUCCCGGCGCGCUCUGGGCCGCGGCCUGGGGCGUCCUGCUGCUGACAGCCCCCGCGGGGGCUCAGCGUGGCCGGAAGAAGGUCGUGCACGUGCUGGAGGGUGAGUCGGGCUCGGUAGUGGUACAGACAGCGCCCGGGCAGGUGGUAAGCCACCGGGGUGGCACCAUCGUCUUGCCCUGCCGCUACCACUAUGAGGCAGCCGCCCACGGUCACGACGGCGUCCGGCUCAAGUGGACAAAGGUGGUGGACCCGCUGGCCUUCACCGACGUCUUCGUGGCACUAGGCCCCCAGCACCGGGCAUUCGGCAGCUACCGUGGGCGGGCUGAGCUGCAGGGCGACGGGCCCGGGGAUGCCUCCCUGGUCCUCCGCAACGUCACGCUGCAAGACUACGGGCGCUAUGAGUGCGAAGUCACCAAUGAGCUGGAAGACGACGCUGGCAUGGUCAAGCUGGACCUGGAAGGCGUGGUCUU